rnacentral:misc_RNA from 1 species
AACCUAGCACACCUGCGGUGUGUACCUGCGGAAGGAUCAUUACCGAGUUUACAACUCCCAAACCCCUGUGAACAUACCAAUUGUUGCCUCGGCGGAUCAGCCCGCUCCCGGUAAAACGGGACGGCCCGCCAGAGGACCCCUAAACUCUGUUUCUAUAUGUAACUUCUGAGUAAAACCAUAAAUAAAUCAAAACUUUUAACAACGGAUCU